GUUUCCCUAGUAUAAAAGUACAUGAUACUUCCAAUUUCAAGAUCCCGGUUUAACCCUGGGGGGAGGCA
rnacentral:tRNA from 1 species